rnacentral:rRNA from 1 species
CCUACGGGAGGCAGCAGUGGGGAAUAUUGCGCAAUGGGCGAAAGCCUGACGCAGCGACGCCGCGUGAGGGUUGAAGGUCUUCGGAUCGUAAACCUCUGUCAGCAGGGAAGAACGGUCACUGUGCUAAUCAGCAGUGAAUUGACGGUACCUGCAAAGGAAGCACCGGCUAACUCCGUGCCAGCAGCCGCGGUAAUACGGAGGGUGCGAGCGUUAAUCGGAAUUACUGGGCGUAAAGCGCUCGUAGGCGGUAUGUCAAGUCAAGGGUGAAAUCCCCGCGCUCAACGUGGGAACUGCCUUUGAAAACGGGAAACUUGAGUGUGUGAGAGGAUAGUGGAAAUCCCGGUGGAGGAGUGAAAACCGUAGAUAAUUGGAGGAACAUCAGUGGGGAAGGCGACUAUCUGGCACAUAACUGACGCUGAGGAGCGAAAGCGUGGGUAGCCAACCGGAUUAGAUAACCCAGUAGUC